rnacentral:lncRNA from 1 species
CGCAGGGCCUGAACUCAUGAUCCUGAGAUCGAGACCUGAGAUGAGAUCAAGAGUCGGCCACCCAACUGGCCAAGCCAUUCAGGUGCCCUGAAAAAAAAUUUCUCUAACCUAUUUUUAGAAUACUACAUAUUUGAUUUCUCAUUUGGUUGAUACGAGUUAGUGAAUUAAAGGAACUGAGAACUCUUUCAUGAAGGAAAUCUGUACGUUUCUGUUAAACUCAUGACUUCUCAGGGUGCCUUGCUGGCUCAUUUGGUAGAGCAUGUGACUCUUGAUCUCGGCUUCAUGAGUUCAAGCCCUACGUUGGCCAUGGAGCCUACUUAAAAGCAGAAAACAAAAAACACUGCAUGAUUUCCCAAACUUAGCUGACCAUGGAAUCCUUCUCUUUGUGGAACAUAACUUAAUAUUUAUGUCUCACGAAACAGUAUGGGUGAUGUGUGCUCUGCUCUACACAGUCAUUUGGUGUCCCAGGUUCCUCCCUUCUGAUUUUUCCUUGGGAACCUAGCUGGGAAGCUGUUGCCCAACCACAGCUUUUUUUUUUUUUAAUGUUUAUUUAUUUAUUUUGAGAGAAAGCAUGAGCACAGGGGAGGGACAGAGAAAAAGGGAGAGAAAGCAUCCCAAGCAGGCUCCACACUGACAAUGCAUAGCCUGGCAUGGGGCUGGAACUCACAAACUAUGAGACCAUGACCUAAGCUGAGAUCGAGUCAGACGCUGAACUGAUUGAGCCACCCACGUGUCCCCCAACUACAGCUUUGACAACUUUGUGUCACUGUCACCUAGCCAGCCUGAAGUAAAGCAGGGACUAGAAUCCGUGUCCUCUCACCCCUAGGCUAGGAUUCUAUUACCACACUAGCUUUUGCUUACUCAGUCGACAUGUUUCAAGUGUCUCUAGUGUUCCAGGUUUACUAUCAGAGAAAACAGAAAACACAGCACCAAUUCUCCAUAAAAUAUUUGUCAAUUGCAUCUUUAAUCUGGUAGCAUUCUUUAUGUAUGGGUAAACUUUCAAAAAUGGCUAUUAAAGUAGCAAAAUUAUAGGUUUAUAUCAUAGUAUUUUAAUUUACCAGAGAACACAUACUAUGGGAAUAAACAAACAUUAGAGGAACAGAGUAGAGAAUCUUGAAAUGGACCGAGAUACAUCUCAGAAUUUAAAGCAUGAAAAAAGGCAUUUCAAAUUAGUUCUGAACAAAGAAGAUGAAUUGUGUGUGAAAGUGGUGCUGGGACCACUGUAUAGCAGUUUGGGGGGGGGGGGGGGGGGGGGNGGGAGGAUAAGCCCUUAAAACUAUUCAUAUUGUUCAAUUAUGUGACUUAAAGAAAUCAUGCAAGUCAAAACGUUUAAAAAUGAUUUUGAAUAGAGUAAAGCUUUUCUAGGCAAAAACAAAAACCAGAAGCUACAAAAGAAAAUCUUGACAAUUCAGACUACAUAAGAGGCAAAAACAAAUAUAGAAAAAAAGAACAAUUAAAGAUUCAAAACAAAUACAUUUUCAAAACAUGGGCAUAAAACUAAUUUUCCAUGAUAUAUAAAGAGCUUUUACAAAUCAGCAACAAUAAUAGAAAAAAUGGACAAAGGACACAAAUAUACACAGAAAAAGAAAUUCAAGGGGCACCUGGGAGGCUCAAUCGAUUAAGCAUCCUACUCUUUAUUUGGACUCAGGUCAUGAUCUCCUAGAUUGUUGGUUUGAGCCCCACAUCUGUGCUGACAGCCAGAGCCUGCCUGGAAUUCUCUGUCUCCCUCUCUCUGCUUCUCCCCCCCCCCCAAAAUAAAUAAAUAAACUUAAAAAAAAAGAAAUUCAAAAUCCAACAAAUACAUGAAAAGAAGCAAAACAAUGGUAUUCAUUUCUCGUUACCAGACUGUCCAGCAUUUAAAACUCUGAUAAUACUCAGUAUUGGAGAAGAUACAAAAAAAUGAGCACUCUCAGACUGUUGGUAAGAGUGUAAAUUAGUACUAGCUUUUUAAAAGACAAUUUUUAAUAGCUUUCAACAUUUUAAAAUAUGUAUAUGACUUGAUCUAGCAAUUCCACUUCUAGGAAUUCAUUUUAAUGAUAUAUUCAUACAAAUGAACAAGUUGUACAGGUGUUCAUUGUAACACUACUUUUAACAGGAAAACAAGCAGUGAGAGAGAGAGAACACCCUAAGUGUCUGUGAUAGUGUUAAAACUUAUCCCCAAAUUGAUACUCCUAUCCUCAAAGAGCAGAGUCCAAUUACCCUCCCUUUGAGUGUGGGCUGUACUAAUGACCCUGAUAAAUAGAAUGUGGUGGAAGUGGUGGUAAUUGAUUUUUCACACUGGGUGAUAAAAAGCAUUUUGGCUUCUUCCUCAUUCUCUCUCUUGGAUUACUCACUGUGGAAGAAGUGAGCUACCACACUGAGAGGACAGUGAGGCAGCUGUAUGGAGAGACCCACGUAGCAGGAACUGAAGCCUCCUGCCAACAGUCAUGAGCCACCUUGGAAUUAGAUCCUCCAGCCCUAGUCAUGCCUUUAGAUAACUGCAGCUCCAUGUCUUAACUAAAACUUCAUGAGAGACCCAGAGCCAGAAGAAUUCAGCUAAGCUGCCCUUGAAUUCAUUACCAGAGGACCAUGAGACAAUAGAUGUUGUUUUCAAGUGCUAAGUUUUGGGGGGUAGUUUGCAAAGCAAAAAGAGAUAACAAAUGUAUUACAUAAUAAAAAGCUGGUUAAUAAAGUAUCAUACUAGCAUACGAGCAAACUCUAUGCAGUUUUUAAAAAUAAUGUUUUCUGCUUGAGAUGUAGGAAACUAUAAAGAACACCAUCCUCAUACUUACAAGAUCAAAAAGUCUGGAAAAUAUGCAGAUUCACUUUUGUUGGACCCAUGAAAGAGCUCAGUUCAUAGGGCAACCACAUGACCUGAAAUCUAAGAAAAGGCACCCACAAAGAGAGAUGGGGCUCAAGCACUUGCUUACCUGAAGCAGGCACUGCUAUACACUAGCAGGGAGAAUUUAGUUAAUGGCCUAACAUGGGCUUGCAAGAGAAAAUGAAAACCCUGGGGGCCGCAGAUACCAUGGAAAUUUGCAUCCACUUGCAAACUUUUUCCAAUAACCCCACUGGGCACUCACAAAAAUGAUUAGCAAAAGUCCUAAGAAAGCAACCCUCCCAUCACAGACCAGGAGAGGGGAAUAUCAGUUGCUGUAGAAAAGGCAUGCAACUAUGCUCAGAACCUAUUUCUUUAUCUUUCCUACAGAACAAAAGCAGAACCAAGUGCUGAAGGAAGGGCAAUAAACACAGCCUUAGAAGGCUGAUAAAUCCAACUGGAACUGAGGAAAGACAACAGAAUAAAAACCAAAUCUCUGAUUCUGAGGGAGAGGCAGGAAUAUGUGCCAGGUCCAGAACUGCUCAUAGGGGGAGGAGAGAAAUCUGAAGAUCACACACAGCCUCCCACUCCAAGACCUGGGGGCAUAGUGCCCGCAUGACUGAGAAUCAGAACAGAGCACUCACUCUCCAGCCCUCACCACCAGGCCGACUGACAAACAUUGGCUAACAAGCAACAGUGGGAUACUGCAGGAAGAGCCCAAGGUGCAUGCUGAGAGAGGCUUUCUGACAUAUACCAGGGAAGACCUAAACUGAGGGUGGAGUGGACACGUCCAUACCCUAAAUACAGGUAACACUUGAGGAAUUGGAAGUAACUAUAGCAACAGC